AGUAAAAUGGCUGAAUUAGGCGAUAAAUUGUAAAUUUAUUUAAAAGAUUUAAAUCUUUUUUAUUA
rnacentral:tRNA from 1 species